GUCCAAGUCCAACCACCUGCAGCCGGAAUAGCCCGAUCGCUGACAAACAUUUAACAUGUGUUGAUUUGUUGAUUUUCGCGGGCUGACGGAGGGACGAAGAGCGAGCAGAAAUUUUGUAAGCAAAUAAAAGUGAUCUGUCAGGAUUUGGCCGAUAGGUGGUUUUGACGGCAGGCAGAGAGAUGGCGAGCGAAAAUAAGUGCAGAAUCUGCAAAAAUGAACAGCUCAAUCCAGACGCUUGCCUCAAUCUUUUGGAUGCCAACCAGGAGUUGGUGAAAAAUUGGCUGAAGCAAAAUUUCAACGACGAGACUCCAGUCGAGGAGGAAGGAUUCUCUGUGAUUGUGUGUUGGAUUUGUGUCAACACAGCAAGGGCCCUCCACAAAUUUGCUUCGACUUGUUGCCAGCUGAAUGGCAUUGCCUUCGAAAAGCAAGAUUGGUGGACCAAACUGGAAUAACUAAGAUCUAGACAGGCCUAUCCUAUGUUGAGCUGAAGUAUUAUCAAAUUUAGAAACAUAAGUGGGUCAAAUGAAAAUUAUUAUCUAAUUAACUAUAGUGACAUAAAGGUUCCUUAAAAUAUUUCUUAAAAACUACAAUAAUGGUCCUUAAGCAACAAAAGCUGAAAAACCUUUAAGUUGUAUCUUAACAGAUCUGUUUAUUAGCCUUACAAACUUUUGCAAGUAAAUAUAAAUAAAAUCUUUUUCAAUAAAUAAUUAAAUA